CGACGAAUCUUCCGCAAUGCGCGAAAGCGUGACGGAGCAAUGCCGCGUGCGGGAUGAAGCGGCUUCGCCGUGUAAACCGCUGUCAGGGGUCAGAAACACUGAUCAACCCCAAAGGAAGGGCCGGCUAACCUCGUGCCAGCAGCCGCGGUAAGACGAGGGGCCCGAGCGUUAAUCGGAAUCACUGGGCUUAAAGGGUUCGUAGGCGGAUGUGUAGGUGUCUUGUGAAAUCCCUCGGCUCAACCGGGGAACUGCAAGGCAAACCACACGUCUUGAGGCAGGUAGAGGUCGUCGGAACGAUAGGUGGAGCGGUGAAAUGCGUAGAUAUCUAUCGGAACGCCAACGGUGAAGACAGACGACUGGGCCUGUUCUGACGCUGAGGAACGAAAGCGUGGGGAGCAAACGGGAUUAGAUACCCCCGUAGUCC
rnacentral:rRNA from 1 species